rnacentral:rRNA from 1 species
CCUACGUGAGGCAGCAGUGGGGGAUAUUGCACAAUGGGGGGAACCCUAAUGCAGCGACGCCGCGUGGGUGAAGAAGCGCCUCGGCGCGUAAAGCCCUGUCAGCAGGGAAGAAAAUGACGGUACCUGAAGAAGAAGCCCCGGCCAACUACGUGCCAGCAGCCGCGGUAAUGCGUAGGGGGCAAGCGUUAUCCGGAUUUACUGGGUGUAAAGGGGGCGCAGACGGCGCUGCAAGCCAGGAGUGAAAGCCCGGGGCCCAACCCCGGGACUGCUCUUGGAACUGCGUGGCUGGAGUGCAGGAGGGGCAGGCGGAAUUCCUGGUGUAGCGGUGAAAGGCGUAGAUAUCAGGAGGAACACCGGUGGCGAAGGCGGCCUGCUGGACUGCAACUGACGUUGAGGCCCGAAAGCGUGGGGAGCAAACAGGAUUAGAUACCCUUGUAGUC